UACGGAAGGCAGCAGUGGGGAAUAUUGCACAAUGGGCGAAAGCCUGAUGCAGCUAUGCCGCGUGUAUGAAGAAGGCCUUAGGGUUGUAAAGUACUUUCAUCGGGGAGGAAAAAACAAAACUAAUAAUUUUAUUUCUUGACGUUACCCGAAAAAGAAGCACCGGCUAACUCCGUGCCAGCAGCCGCGGUAAUACGGAGGGUGCUAGCGUUAAUCAGAAUUACUGGGCGUAAAGAGCACGUAGGUGGUUUUUUUAAAGUUCAGAUGUGAAAUCCCUGGGCUUUAACCUAGGAACUGCAUUUUGAAACUGAAAUACUAGAGUAUCGUAGAGGGAGGUAGAAUUCUAGGUGUAGCGGUGAAAUGCGUAGAUAUCUGGAGGAAUACCUGUGGCGAAAGCGGCCUCCUAAACGAAUACUGACACUGAGGGUGCGAAAGCGUGGGGAGCAAACAGGGAUUAGAUACC
rnacentral:rRNA from 1 species